rnacentral:lncRNA from 1 species
GCUUGAUUAUCUACCAUCCAAGAGAUCUAUUCUCCAUGUUUGCCUCUUGAUUUGGUCAUUUACCGACUAGGAGAUCUUAUCUUCAUUUUUAAAUUUUUGGUCUAGUCUUCACCGAUCAGGAGAUCUUUUUGUAUUUGAAUUUUCGGUGUGAUCAGAAGAUUUUAUCUCUAUAUUUGAUUUUUCACUCGAUGGCAAAGUUAACAUAUGUCAUAUG